CAGAUAACAUCAUUUUUCAAUAACUAAUCGUUUUGCAAAUCAUCCCUAACACCACCCUCCUCAAAAUCUUUCCAACAAAAUGAUUCCAAUGAUUCAAGUGAUUUAACGAAAUUGGAACAUGUAAUAGACGGAUUUGAGAAAAAACAAAGAACAAUUAUCUUCGACGCUGUAGAAGCAGCUGUUACAAAAUGUUUCGAACAAAAUUUUGCACGCUUGGCAUCUUUAAUGGAGAUUAAUAAGAAGACUGAACAAACUAAGCCUAAUAUAAAAAUAGGCUUGGAAAAAUGGAACUUGGUAACAAACGAAGAAGAACUUAUAGAGUUGAACGAUAAACUAGAUGAUUAAGAGCUCCGUACAAAUUAUCUUGAAUAUUUCUCAAAAGUUGUUUUGCCAAACUCCUAUGCAGGUAAAGGAGACGACGCAUGCUAUAUCAUCGUUGAUUGCCUUUUUUCACGUGAAUUUUGGAAUUGUUUUACGUGGACCGGAAUAAAUCGCGGGCAAAAGAAAUCCAGUCGAGGAUUCCGUCAAUUUGGAAAUGUUACAAAACUAUUAUUGGAUAUUGUUCAAAUUGGAGAUCCUCUGUACACGUUUCAAAAAUUAUAAGUUUUCUGUAAAACGCGAUUGUUCCGCUACACGAAAGCACGAUCUUCAAAUAAACAACUUCGAAGGUCAGCUUGUCGUCGUAGAAAAAACACAACAGAGAAGGUUAACUGUAAAAGUUAUAACACUUCAGAUGAACGAAUCCACGGAAACUCUGCUAUCGAAGAUGAACAAACAGAGAAUGAUGAAUUCAUAGAUGAACAUUACGAAACCAUAUCAUUACUGAAUGAAGAUAUGUAUGAAGCUGUGAACAAUGAAAUAUUUGUGCCAACAAACAAUGGAGAAAAUUCGAACGAAGAAGAAUAUUUGGAUGAAAACUAUGACUUAUGCUACUGACCUCAACGUUCGGUUCGGUACGGCAUACUCGUUGGAAUAGUAUAAAAA